rnacentral:rRNA from 1 species
UACGAGGGGUGCAAGCGUUGCUCGGAAUUAUUGGGCGUAAAGGGUAGGUAGGUGGUCUCAUUUGUCUAGGGUGAAAGCCUUGAGCUUAACUCAAGAAGUGCCCUAGAAACGGUGAGACUGGAGUCUUGGAGAGGGUCGUGGAAUUCCCGGUGUAGCGGUGAAAUGCGCAGAUAUCAGGAGGAACACCGAUGGCGAAGGCAGGUCUCUGGGCCACUACUGACGCUGAGAAGCGAAAGCGUGGGGAGCGAACAGG